CGCCCAACAGCUAGCCCCCCCCCCAAUAACAACAGACCACUAUUAAUAACCCCCCAUACCCUCCCCCCAAAAAAUAAACCAUUUUUCCCCCAUAGUAUAGGAGACAGAAAAGGAGCUAAGGAGCUAUAAAGAAAGUACCGCAAGGGAAAGCUGAAAUAGAAAUGAAAUAAUCCAGUAAAAGCAUAAAAAAGCAAAGACUCAUCCUUGUACCUUUUGCAUCAUGAAUUAGUCAGAAUAACUUAAGCAAAAAGAAUUUUAGUUUAACCCCCCGAAACUAGACGAGCUACUCCAGGACAGCCAACCAAUGGGCAAACCCGUCUCUGUGGCAAAAGAGUGGGAAGAGCCUAGAGUAGAGGUGAAAAGCCUAUCGAGUUUAGUUAUAGCUGGUUGCCUAUAAAAUGGAUACAAGUUCAGCCUCCAAGGUUCUAUCCUCCACAAGCCCAAGAGAAAAAGAAACAAGGAGAGUUAAUCAAAAGAGGUCCAGCCCUUUUGAUAAAGGACACAACCUUCCCAGCAGGAAAAAGAUCACACUAUGUAAGGAAACCUACUAAAGUGGGCCCAAAAGCAGCCAUCUUAAAAGAAAGCGUUACAGCUCACGCACCCCCCCCCCCCCGAAAAUACUGAUAAAAACAUCUUUAUCCACUAUCAAUAAUAGGCCUCUCCACCCUUUGGAAGAGAUUAUGCUAAUAUGAGUAAUAAGAGAUUACCAAGACUCUCUCCUUGCACAAGUGUGUGUCGAAACGAACCCCCAUCGACCAUUAACGGCCCCAACCAAAGAGGGCAAUGAACAAAACAUACAAACCCAAGAAAACAGUUCAACACACCAACCGUCAACCCCACACAGGAGUGCUAAUAAUGGAACGACUAAAAGGAGGGGAAGGAACUCGGCAAAUACCUAACUUUAAGCCUCGCCUGUUUACCAAAAACAUCGCCUCUUGCAACAACAAAAUAAGAGGUCCCACCUGCCCAGUGACUUUAAGUUUAACGGCCGCGGUAUUUUGACCGUGCAAAGGUAGCACAAUCACUUGUCCUUUAAAUGGGGACCUGUAUGAAUGGUAUCACGAAGGCUAAACUGUCUCCCCCUCCAAGUCAAUGAAAUUGAUCCCCCCGUGCAGAAGCGGGGAUACCGAUAUAAGACGAGAAGACCCUAUGGAGCUUCAGACACCAAGACAGAUCAUGUUAAACAACCCCCUACACAGGCUGAAACCAAAUGAAAUUACCUGCCUAAAUGUCUUUGGUUGGGGCGACCGCGUGGUACAAUAAAACCCCCGCGUGGAAUUGAAACACAUCACCGUUUCUGAGGCUAAGAGCUCCCGCUCAACCCCCCAGAACAUCUGACCAAAAAUGACCCGGCCACUUAUGCCGAACAACGAACCGAGUUACCCUAGGGAUAACAGCGCAAUCCUCUUCCAGAGCCCAUAUCGACAAGAGGGUUUACGACCUCGAUGUUGGAUCAGGGCAUCCUAAUGGUGCAGCCGCUAUUAAGGGUUCGUUUGUUCAACGAUUAAAGCCCUACGUGAUCUGAGUUCAGACCGGAGCAAUCCAGGUCAGUUUCUAUCUAUAACCAGCCCUCUUCCAGUACGAAAGGACCGAAGCAGGAAGGCCCAUGGCAAAGCCACGCCUUAUCCUCCACUAAUGAAAUCAAAUAAAUAAGACCAAAGGAAGAUUAUUUUUACCCCCAAAACAGGGCAU
rnacentral:rRNA from 1 species